rnacentral:rRNA from 1 species
UCUAGCCAUGCCGCGUGUGUGAUGAAGGCCUUAGGGUCGUAAAGCACUUUCGCCAGAGAUGAUAAUGACAGUAUCUGGUAAAGAAACCCCGGCUAACUCCGUGCCAGCAGCCGCGGUAAUACGGAGGGGGUUAGCGUUGUUCGGAAUUACUGGGCGUAAAGCGUACGUAGGCGGAUCAGAAAGUAUGGGGUGAAAUCCCAGGGCUCAACCCUGGAACUGCCUCAUAAACUCCUGGUCUUGAGUUCGAGAGAGGUGAGUGGAAUUCCAAGUGUAGAGGUGAAAUUCGUAGAUAUUUGGAGGAACACCAGUGGCGAAGGCGGCUCACUGGCUCGAUACUGACGCUGAGGUACGAAAGUGUGGGGAGCAAACAGGAUUAGAUACCCUGGUAG